rnacentral:rRNA from 1 species
AGCGGUGGAGCAUGUGGCUNAAUUCGAGGCAACGCGAAGAACCUUACCUGGGCUUGAAAUAUAGUUGACAGUCCGUGAAAGCGGAUCUCCCUUCGGGGCAAUUAUACAGGUGCUGCAUGGCUGUCGUCAGCUCGUGCUGUGAAGUGUUCGGUUAAGUCCGGCAACGAGCGCAACCCGUAUCUUCAGUUGCCAUCACGUAAUGGUGGGGACUCUGAAGAGACUGCCUGUGUUAAGCAGGAGGAAGGCGCGGAUGACGUCAAGUCAGUAUGGCCCUUACGUCCAGGGCUGCACACGUGCUACAAUGGGGGGUACAAUGGGAUGCAAUGUCGCGAGGCGGAGCAAAUCCACAAAACCUCCCUUAGUUCGGAUUGUAGUCUGCAACUCGACUACAUGAAGUCGGAAUCGCUAGUAAAGGCGUAUCAGCUACGACGCCUUGAAUACGUUCCCGGGCCUUGUACACACCGCCCGUCACAUCAUGGGAGUUGAUUGCACCCGAAAUCGUUGACUCAACCAGCAAUGGGGAGAGACGCCUAAGGUGUGGUCGAUGACUGGGAUGAAGCCGUAACAAGGU